UUGAAAAUGGCGGAGGGGAGAGAGCUACGCGACAUAAAGAGUCAAAUAUUAGUAAACCGUGAAUGACAAUUUCAAAAGGCGCAAAUUGGAUUUCGUAAUAACUUAAUUUUUUAAGGAGAUACGGAGUAAUGUAUAGCUGAAAACAGCGACAUUAUUUUGAAACUGGCUUUGAAUUAGCUAACAUUGCUAAUUUCGCUAGCUUCAAUAGUGUGAUUUUUACUCGCAGGCUUGUUUGUCAACAUUAGCCAACAACCAUGUUCUCCCUGGCUUGUGUCAAACUACAGCGCCAGACCACAUUAUCCAUAGCGUGUGGAAGACAUUGAUUCAUGGAGCGGCAGAACAGAAAACCAAGGCACCCGAACUAGCUGGCACUGGCCGCCCAAUUUACGGGCUUUACUGUAAAAUAUUUACAUCCGAAUUAGCCAAUUUAUGCAUGGAUAUUGAGCGUCUAACUUUAAUCAACGACAGAUUGCAUUGGAAUUGAAUAAAUAUAGAAGAUAAAUACCAACGUAUACGGAGAUUUAGGCAGGUCCAGCUCGCUACCUCCUCCCCCAGUGGGAUGGUGCUGCAUGACAGGGAGGCCUUGGCGCCGUAGCCCCCUCUCCUGGAUCCUGCCCGCCCCACCACCACCCCCCUCAGAGCAGAGGACCACCACCACAGCAGCCCCGCCCAUGAGUCACCCUCUGGAGCCCUAGAUCAAGUUCAUGCUCUACAACAUUCGCAGAGUACGACCCUGCC